CCUACGGGUGGCAGCAGUGAGGAAUAUUGGUCAAUGGGCGAGAGCCUGAACCAGCCAAGUCGCGUGAGGGAGUACUGCCCUAUGGGUUGUAAACCUCUUUUGUCGGGGAGCAAAAGCCGGACGUGUCCGGCUGUGAGAGUACCCGAAGAAAAAGCAUCGGCUAACUCCGUGCCAGCAGCCGCGGUAAUACGGAGGAUGCGAGCGUUAUCCGGAUUUAUUGGGUUUAAAGGGUGCGCAGGCUGAUUUUUAAGUCAGCGGUAAAAUCGUGGGGCUCAACCCCAUCCAGCCGUUGAAACUGGGGAUCUAGAGUGUGCGAGAGGUAUGCGGAAUGUGUGGUGUAGCGGUGAAAUGCAUAGAUAUCACGCAGAACCCCGAUUGCGAAGGCAGCAUACCGGUGCACAACUGACGCUCAGGGACGAAAGCGUGGGUAUCGAACAGGAUUAGAUACCCCAGUAGUC
rnacentral:rRNA from 1 species